rnacentral:rRNA from 2 species
UUGAUUGGUGCUUGCAUCAUGAUUUACAUUUGAGUGAGUGGCGAACUGGUGAGUAACACGUGGGAAACCUGCCCAGAAGCGGGGGAUAACACCUGGAAACAGAUGCUAAUACCGCAUAACAACUUGGACCGCAUGGUCCGAGUUUGAAAGAUGGCUUCGGCUAUCACUUUUGGAUGGUCCCGCGGCGUAUUAGCUAGAUGGUGGGGUAACGGCUCACCAUGGCAAUGAUACGUAGCCGACCUGAGAGGGUAAUCGGCCACAUUGGGACUGAGACACGGCCCAAACUCCUACGGGAGGCAGCAGUAGGGAAUCUUCCACAAUGGACGAAAGUCUGAUGGAGCAACGCCGCGUGAGUGAAGAAGGGUUUCGGCUCGUAAAACUCUGUUGUUAAAGAAGAACAUAUCUGAGAGUAACUGUUCAGGUAUUGACGGUAUUUAACCAGAAAGCCACGGCUAACUACGUGCCAGCAGCCGCGGUAAUACGUAGGUGGCAAGCGUUGUCCGGAUUUAUUGGGCGUAAAGCGAGCGCAGGCGGUUUUUUAAGUCUGAUGUGAAAGCCUUCGGCUCAACCGAAGAAGUGCAUCGGAAACUGGGAAACUUGAGUGCAGAAGAGGACAGUGGAACUCCAUGUGUAGCGGUGAAAUGCGUAGAUAUAUGGAAGAACACCAGUGGCGAAGGCGGCUGUCUGGUCUGUAACUGACGCUGAGGCUCGAAAGUAUGGGUAGCAAACAGGAUUAGAUACCCUGGUAGUCCAUACCGUAAACGAUGAAUGCUAAGUGUUUGGAGGGUUUCCGCCCUUCAGUGCUGCAGCUAACGCAUUAAGCAUUCCGCCCUGGGGAGUACGGCCGCAAGGCUGAAACUCAAAGGAAUUUGACGGGGGCCCGCACAAGCGGUGGAGCAUGUGGUUUAAUUCGAAGCUACGCGA